rnacentral:rRNA from 1 species
UACAGAGGUCUCAAGCGUUGUUCGGAUUCAUUGGGCGUAAAGGGUGCGUAGGCGGUUUGGUAAGUCUCUUGUGAAAUCUAUGGGCUCAACUCAUAGUCUGCAAGGGAAACUGCCGGGCUUGAGUGUGGGAGAGGUGAGUGGAAUUUCCGGUGUAGCGGUGAAAUGCGUAGAUAUCGGAAGGAACACCUGUGGCGAAAGCGGCUCACUGGACCACAACUGACGCUGAUGCACGAAAGCUAGGGGAGCAAACAGG